UACGUAGGGUGCGAGCGUUGUCCGGAAUUAUUGGGCGUAAAGAGCUCGUAGGCGGUGUGUCGCGUCGGUCGUGAAAACUUGGGGCUUAACCCUGAGCUUGCGGUCGAUACGGGCAUCACUGGAGUUCGGCAGGGGAGACUGGAAUUCCUGGUGUAGCGGUGAAAUGCGUAGAUAUCAGGAGGAACACCGGUGGCGAAGGCGCUCAUCUGGCCCAAUACUGACGCUGAGGCGCGAAAGCGUGGGGAGCAAACAGG
rnacentral:rRNA from 1 species